AGGAUGCUAUAUAACAAGCCCAGAUCAGUUAGGCUGCAGCUUCAGAGACUUUCCACCACUGAAGAUCUUCUGCAGUCCGUGCCAAGUCUACCAACAGAGUCAGCUGAAAGGGAAAAAUAACAUCCGUAAUCAUGAAGAUCCAGGUUGCCGGCUUCCUGCUGAUGCUGCUCUCUGCUGUCGAGCUCUCCGAAGGGCAGCAUCCGAUUGAGAAGAACGUCAUCGGCAACAUGAACAAAGGGCAAUGUAACGAUGUCAUGAACGAAAGAUUCAAUAGUGAAGGGGGUUGCAAGCAUGCAGAAACCUUCAUUGUAGCGUCUCUCGAAGAUGUGAAUGCUCUCUGUCAAAAGGUGAACGGGAUCAUGCCAGGUUUUAGCAAGGAAAUAUUUAAAGUUGUUGACUGUACGAAAGUUAAAGAUUGUGUCUAUAAUGGUGAUGACAGACAUACAAAAACUCAACUUAAACUUGAAUGUAAAGAUAAUCAAGCUGUGCGCUAUGUAGGCGCUAAGAGGCUGAAUUAAAAAAAAGAUGCAUUGCUUAUUUCCUGCCAUUAAUUUAAAAAAUGAAGCUAAUGUUUUUCCUGGUUCAAUGUUAAUCUGAUUCUGUAUACAUGAUCCUAAAUAUACGGUAACAUUUUUAUCUGAACCUCCAGAUAGCUUCUACUGCAGCAGCUUAUUAAUGUUACCAUCUUAUGUUUUGGCUUCUUCAAUGUUACCGUUUUAUCCCAAAUAAACCUAUUGCAUGAUCUGAAA